rnacentral:hammerhead_ribozyme from 1 species
AUGCGAAACCGCCCCAGGUGGGCGGUCUGCUCGGCGUGGUGGCCGGGUACUGAUGAGCAGCCGAGG